UACGAAGGGGGCUAGCGUUGUUCGGAUUUACUGGGCGUAAAGCGCAUGUAGGCGGGUCGUUAAGUUGGGGGUGAAAUCCCGAGGCUCAACCUCGGAACUGCCUUCAAAACUGGCGGACUGGAGCAAGAUAGAGGCAAGUGGAAUUGCGAGUGUAGAGGUGAAAUUCGUAGAUAUUCGCAGGAACACCAGUGGCGAAGGCGACUUGCUGGAUCUUUGCUGACGCUGAGAUGCGAAAGCUUGGGGAGCAAACGGG
rnacentral:rRNA from 1 species